rnacentral:hammerhead_ribozyme from 1 species
GCACUGCUGAGGAGUCUUACAACAGGACGAAACGGCCGCCCAGUGC